rnacentral:lncRNA from 1 species
AUUCAGGGGACAGUGCCUGCGAGGACAGCGUGUUGGCUGGUCCUUGUGAAGUCAUGUGGGCACCACUAGUGAAUAAAAAGAACUGAAAACCAUCAAGAAUGAAAACUUGGUGUGAGAGCCAGAGACCUUCUGGAAGCUUCCAGAGAGACCCCAUCUCCUGUAGUUGGGGGAUGCAGCAGCUAGGAGCAGACAGGAUUUGAGAGCAGGAACCACAGAGCUUGGGAGAGGCUGGAUCAGGCAGGCUUAUAGCACCAAGGUAAGGGCCCUGCUCAGACGACCUGGGACCCUGGACUCUGGUGAAGGUGAAUGAACAGAGCCCUGGGGAUAUGUCUAUCCCUCAGAGCAGGAAGAGGUGGCCUACCCUUCACUGGUGGGAACUGCUGCCAACCCAGGCUGGAGGACACUGCAAGGUCUCUGCCCUGCAAGGUAACGGACACCACCCCCUUGAAAGCUGCUCCCACCCCUGUUCCUGGCCGG